CCUACGUGCGGCAGCAGUGGGGAAUAUUGGACAAUGGGCGAAAGCCUGAUCCAGCCAUGCCGCGUGUGUGAAGAAGGCCUUCGGGUUGUAAAGCACUUUCGGUGGGGAAGAAAGCCUUGGGUCUAAUACCCUCGAGGAAGGACAUCACCCACAGAAGAAGCACCGGCUAACUCCGUGCCAGCAGCCGCGGUAAUACGGAGGGUGCGAGCGUUAAUCGGAAUUACUGGGCGUAAAGCGCGCGUAGGCGGUCUGAUAAGCCGGUUGUGAAAGCCCCGGGCUCAACCUGGGAACGGCAUCCGGAACUGUCAGGCUAGAGUGCAGGAGAGGAAGGUAGAAUUCCCGGUGUAGCGGUGAAAUGCGUAGAGAUCGGGAGGAAUACCAGUGGCGAAGGCGGCCUUCUGGACUGACACUGACGCUGAGGUGCGAAAGCGUGGGUAGCAAACAGGAUUAGAUACCCUUGUAGUC
rnacentral:rRNA from 1 species